UACGUAGGGCGCAAGCGUUGUCCGGAAUUAUUGGGCGUAAAGCGCACGUAGGCGGCUUAGCAAGUCGGAAGUGAAAUCCCUCGGCUCAACCAAGGAAGUGCUUUCGAAACUGCUGAGCUUGAGUACUUAAGAGGAUCGCGGAAUUCCCGGUGUAGAGGUGAAAUUCGUAGAUAUCGGGAGGAACACCAGUGGCGAAGGCGGCGAUCUGGGAAGAUACUGACGCUGAGGUGCGAAAGCGUGGGGAGCAAACAGG
rnacentral:rRNA from 1 species